UACGGAGGGGGCUAGCGUUGUUCGGAUAUACUGGGCGUAAAGCGCACGUAGGCGGCUUUUCAAGUCAGGGGUGAAAUCCCGGGGCUCAACUCCGGAACUGCCCUUGAAACUGAAUCGCUAGAAUCCUGGAGAGGCGAGUGGAAUUCCGAGUGUAGAGGUGAAAUUCGUAGAUAUUCGGAAGAACACCAGUGGCGAAGGCGGCUCGCUGGACAGGUAUUGACGCUGAGGUGCGAAAGCGUGGGGAGCAAACAGG
rnacentral:rRNA from 1 species